AACGCACCUUGCGCCCUUUGGCCAUUCCGAAGGGCAUGCCUGUUUGAGUAUCAUGAACACCUCAACUCUUCAUGGUUUUCCUUGAUGAGCUUGGACUUUGGGGGUCUUGCUGGCCUGUGGGUCGGCUCCCCUCAAAUGAAUCAGCUUGCCAGUGUUUUGGUGGCAUCACAGGUGUGAUAACUAUCUAUACUUGUGGUUUUCCACCAAGUAACCUUCAGCAAUGGGGGUUCGCUGGAGCUCACAAACGUCUCUCAUCAGUGGGGGACAGCCCUUUGAACAUUUGAUCUCAAAUCAGGUAGGACUACCCGCUGAACUUAA
rnacentral:misc_RNA from 3 species